rnacentral:lncRNA from 1 species
GUGACAGCUGGCAGGUAAAGGAGUGCCAUAGUAGGUAGAGGGCUGGGUCUGUCCUCUCUUCUCCUCCUCCUCUCCCUUUGCUCCCAGCCUGCAGGGAGAGGGGAGAGAGGUGAGAGCAGCAUGGGGGAGGAGGAAGCAGAGGAGACAGAGGUGGGAGAGGAGAGGCUAAGCCCCACACCCAACUGAAGAAGUGGUUGGCGGUUUCAGCGGCACCUCCCUCCUCGCUGAGGUGGACUGUGAAGGUGGAGAAGCCCAGAGCACAGCCUCCUGUGAGCAGCUUCCCAGGGUGUUGAGGGCUGCCAGGCAAGGACAGGGCCCUCAGAGUUAGGCCUUGCCUGGGCAGGGGUCUCCUGGGGGAACCUUCCCUCAGGGCCCUGAGGCUCUGGGCUCCAGAGCUCAGCUUCCGCGUUCAGAUACAUGGUCUGCUCUGCUUUGGAGACUGAGAAGCCUGAGAGGUGAAGAAACAGAGGGAAGACCCAGUGCCUUGUGCAAGGUGGCUCAGUUUGUAAGUGGCAGAGCCGAUUUGAACCCACGUUUGUCUGACUCUAAUACUGUAUCAACCCUCCUUCCUCUACCCUGUUCCUCUGCAUUGUCAACUAUUCCACAUGUAUCUUGUUCCUCAACAAAAUAGUAACGUUUUCUUUUGCAUACUUUAUAUCUCUCACCUUGCCUGACCCAGUAACAUAGGCUUGGUUGGGAGGGACUGAAGGACUUGGAAAGGAAAUGCCCCAGUGGAG